AUGAGCGGCUGCCUCCUCCUCUCUUCAUCUCCAGUAGCGUUUCUCAGGGAGGUGGGAUGCAGUCACGCUCCGCUGGAUUCUGUGGAUGAAAUCCAAAGGAAAUCUUUGUACUGUGAUGAGCAAACCGCGCGCGCUAUCUUGCAAACGAUGUCAGACUCUUCUUUGCCAGCCUUCCCUUCCGUCUUCCCUUUCCUGUUUCUGAGAAAGGAGAGCGGUGCCUUGGGUGCAGCAGGGCAGGAGUCAGUGCAACACAAAGGUGCUGUGUCUGUCGCAGCGUUUGUCCAGGGGCCGCCAAAGGCAGGAGCACAGCACAGCACCAUUCAUUCCUGUGAGAGGACAGUGGCUGCGGUGAGUUUCAACCAUGUCUGCGCCGCAUCAUUCCCAGCAGGUGUUUCUGGACAGUGCAUAGAAGCUGUGAAAAACUAUUUAAGAAAUCUUCAUUACAAACUGAAGAAAUAUGGAAAAGGUCCAUGUCAUGGGCAGAUCAGAGACUAUGAGUGUCAUUUGGCCUAAAUCUAACCACUGGGAUUUAUGAACCUGGUCACACCUCCCUCCCUUCACAGACAGGAUGGGACAGACAUGGUGAAGAGAUCUACUGAAUAGUAUUUGAACCUGGUCAAUGCUGCUGCAUCUCAUUCAAAGUUUAAAUUACUUUGGUUUCUUUUAAAGGCUAUGUUGUAUCUCUUACAUGAGAUGUGUUUACUGGCUGUAUAUGUGAUCUUUUUGAAUACAAAGUCAAAUAAAACUUAUAUCAAUGGUGAAGUUAGUCUAACC
rnacentral:lncRNA from 1 species